rnacentral:tRNA from 1 species
UUUCUCUUAGCUUAAGUUUAAAGCGUUAGUUUGAAGCACUAGAGAUAAUUUUAUUAGGGAGAC